rnacentral:lncRNA from 1 species
AGGGGUGCUUUCUAGUAUGUAGUUCAUGGUUCACUCAACAAAGGGACAACUCAGUCCCACACAAGGUGUGCCUGGAAGGAAGACAUAUUUCGGAAUCUGUUUGACGGUGAAAUUCCCAGUUUCUGAACUAACAAAGUGCCGCUGCAAGGUACAUUUCGAAUUGAUUCUUAUCUGCUUCAGGUAGCACCUUAUCAUCGCACGAGCUGCGUGCUCGGUCAAAAGCCUCUUGACAUAGGCGUGUGGGUGUGUUCUGUGGGGGUCAGAAGCGUCAAGCCUCCUCGCGACCCUCGCGAGGAUAUGUAUCAAUCAGCCUUCGCGCACUGGGGAACGAAGUCAAGGACGCUCCAAAGCCGAGAGGGGUCGAGUGCGGCCUUUGAGGCAAGAUAUCCUUCACAGUCCCGCGCUGCAGAAAGGUGGGAUGCAAUGCGCAAAACGGGCCUGCAGUGCAUUAAUUCUUCCAUACCUAGCUGUGAUGUGAUAGGUGUUGCAUUCUCCUGAAUCAGUUUUCUCAUGGACACAACAUCUUGCAGUGACGCGAGGCCACGUGCAAGUAGGUGGCGUAGCUGGCGAUUGCAGGAAUCAAUCUGC